CCCUUGACUGGAACAAGCACAAUAAACAAAGGUUUUACAAAGAUUUAAAAGCUCUUAAUGAAGCGAAUAUAACAAUGAGAAAUAAUAAAACCCGGAAGAACCCUUUUAGCCGUUGGAAGCGUGGAUAAUGGUGAUUCUUCCGAUGUGGAUCGCGUUGGCUUGAAUGUGAGCUUUGAAUGCCGAGUGGGAGUGAGUAGUUGAGCACGAAAUCAGAUGGGAAAGCUUGAAUGCACUUGAUUUCUCCUCUUUAAAGCUCUAACUCCCUUGAACCUCUUUUUCUUUCUUCUCUCUUGAAUGAUCUUGUGUUGGGUUGGUGAGAAGUUGUUGGAAGACACUUAAAAGCUCCCUUUUAUAGCCCAAAAAGCAAUAGAUCCGUUAGACACAAAAAUAUGACCGUUUGAAAUUCAAAUUUACCUGAAAAAGUGUGUCAGUCGCGUUUCAGGCGCUCCGGAGACGUCUCCGCUUCGACGCGAGACGUCUCGGCUGUAUAAAAUUUCUCUUGACGGUGUUUGGAGUCGACUCGGCACUUUUACGGGGACGACUCUGAAGAAGAAUGACUUGAAUGCUUGUUCUUCUGUUUUUCUGAGAGAGUCGGCUCGGUACUUUACGGGGACGUCUCGGGAUUUUUGCGCUUUUUGCAUGGGGACGACUCCGCGACGUCGGGGACGACUCCGUAGUUGUAUCACCAAAAAACACGUCUUCGGAGACGACUCGCGCGCAUCCCUUGAAAUCGGCCUUUCUGCCGCCUCUGAGAGAGUCGACUCCGCAGAGUCAGGAGUCGACUCCGACCUUGCGAGACGCCUCGCCAGGUGCCGGGGACGUC
rnacentral:lncRNA from 1 species